UACAGAGGUGGCAAGCGUUGUUCGGAAUUACUGGGCGUAAAGGGCGCGUAGGCGGCCUGCUAAGUCGAACGUGAAAUCCCCGAGCUCAACUCGGGAACUGCGUCCGAUACUGACAGGCUUGAAUCCGGGAGAGGGAUGCGGAAUUCCAGGUGUAGCGGUGAAAUGCGUAGAUAUCUGGAGGAACACCGGUGGCGAAGGCGGCAUCCUGGACCGGCAUUGACGCUGAGGCGCGAAAGCUAGGGGAGCAAACGGG
rnacentral:rRNA from 1 species